GACCCAGUAGCACUUGGUGUGCAUCUGCUUCCAAUAAAAAGUUGGCGAAUUGACCGGCAGAAGAUGCUGGUUCGAUUCCAGGCUGAGUCG